rnacentral:rRNA from 1 species
AUUGAACGCUGGCGGCAUGCCUUACACAUGCAAGUCGAACGGCAGCACGGGAGCAAUCCUGGUGGCGAGUGGCGAACGGGCGAGUAAUAUAUCGGAACGUGCGCAGUAGUGGGGGAUAACUGCUCGAAAGAGCAGCUAAUACCGCAUACGACUUGAGGGUGAAAGGGGGGGAUCGCAAGACCUCUCGCGAUUGGAGCGGCCGAUAUCAGAUUAGCUAGUUGGUGGGGUAAAGGCCUACCAAGGCAACGAUCUGUAGUUGGUCUGAGAGGACGACCAGCCACACUGGGACUGAGACACGGCCCAGACUCCUACGGGAGGCAGCAGUGGGGAAUUUUGGACAAUGGGCGCAAGCCUGAUCCAGCAAUGCCGCGUGCAGGAAGAAGGCCUUCGGGUUGUAAACUGCUUUUGUCAGGGAAGAAAUCCUCUAGGUUAAUACCCUUGGGGGGAUGACGGUACCUGAAGAAUAAGCACCGGCUAACUACGUGCCAGCCGCCGCCGUAAUAC